GAAGCUUUGUGAAGAAGAAAGCUUUUAUAACUUAGAAGAGGAUUCUUAUUACUUAGAUGAUUCUUACAAACUUGGAUACUUUUUGAUGAUACAAAAUGAAAGGGAAGUGGAGGUAUUUAUAGCCCCCAUAAUACAAAAUAUCUCAAAUAUUUUAAUCCUAAAUCUAGAUAAUUCUAACAUAAUAUCUAGAUUUUUUAUUCUAAUUAUCUAGAUUUUUCUAUAACAAUAUCUAGAUUUUUUUAACUUAAGAAGGUGGAAGAUUAUUCUAGAAUUUGGGUUAAAGUUUUGGAUCAACACAUGAUUAGCCCAAUAAUGCUUAACCCAAAUCAAGUUUACUUUUCAACACCCCCUCUUAAACUUGAUUUGGUUACUCCGAGUAAGCUCCUCAUCUUGUUAAAGUCUUCUCGCUUGAGUGGCUUGGUGAAGAUAUCAGCUACUUGAUCAUUUGUCUUCAUAUACUCUAACUGCACAUCCAUCUUGGU
rnacentral:lncRNA from 1 species